GCAGCCGCCGCGGGAAUACGUAGGGUGCAAGCGUUAAUCGGAAUUACUGGGCGUAAAGCGUGCGCAGGCGGUUAUAUAAGACAGAUGUGAAAUCCCCGGGCUCAACCUGGGAACUGCAUUUGUGACUGUAUAGCUAGAGUACGGCAGAGGGGGAUGGAAUUCCGCGUGUAGCAGUGAAAUGCGUAGAUAUGCGGAGGAACACCGAUGGCGAAGGCAAUCCCCUGGGCCUGUACUGACGCUCAUGCACGAAAGCGUGGGGAGCAAACAGGAUUAGAUACCCCUGUAGUCCCUGUCUCUUAUAC
rnacentral:rRNA from 1 species